CAGAGCCCGCCAGCCGCUGAGCCGGGGCCACACCUGGGGGUGAUGUGCUGCCUCACCUCCAGUAGGCACCUUGGUCUCUGAGCUACUCGCUCCCUGGCGCCCUCGCACUAACUCUUGCUCUCCCCCAGCUAACCCCUGCCUCGCCCUGGCUGCCCCGGGGGCUGCCCCUAACAGCCGACCCCGCCCGCCUGGGAGUCCCAGGCUCCCGGCCUGACUCCCUCCGAGCGGCUCGUAAUUAACCUGUCCUUCACCUCCACUAACGCCUGCCCUCCUGGUCUGUUCCUUCCAGCAGAAACUAAUGGCUUGUGGAUUUCUUUCUGACUAACAACAGGUCUAACACUCCUCGUCACUAUUACUAUUAACAGCUUGGAUGUCGGCAUGGCUGGG
rfam:Equus caballus cont2.38446, whole genome shotgun sequence.